UGGCCAGUACCUUCAGCCCUUCGAAAAGUGAACUUUGUUUGCUUGUGAUCCACUGUCUGGAUGCUAUGAUACAAGAGUCCAUAUUUGGUCUACCCACCCAAUCCACCUCCUUGAAUACCUUUGGGGCACUCUGAUAGGAAUUCAAAAAUGCCUCAAAGUUGCUUGGAAGGAAGACGCCUGAUCACCCUCUGGACUGACCCAAGCCCCAGAAGGAGAUAUGACUUUGGAAGAAGGACCAGAGGGAUGCAACGUUGCUGGCUUUGAAGAUGGAGGAAGGGGCCAUGAGCCGAGGAAUGCAGGUGGCCUC